rnacentral:tRNA from 1 species
AGUGGAGUGAUGUAAUGGUUAGCACACCCGCCUGAACAAUGGGAGGCUCGAAGUUCAAAUCCCGCCUCCGCUA